CUUAUCAUCAUUUUUUCUUUUCUUUUUUUCAUUUUGGGCCCUGAAGCAUGGAGACUUUUUCUUCUGACAUUCAUUCACCAUUUCUACACGCAACAUCCCAUUGCUUACUCCGUUCUCCAUUUUGCCUCUCAGUUAUACAUCAUACACAUACACCUCAGUUUUAUUCCGUUUUCCAUUUUUCCUCCCCAGUUAUACAUCACAAGCUUUUUUUGCUAUCUUCAUUAGAAAAUUUGGGGAUGGAAUUCAUAGGUGGAAAAAGGACAGGUAGACCCGAAGGUGAGUUCAACAACAAUGGCGGUUUCAAGAAAUCCAAGCACUAUUUGUUUUUCAUUUUUUUUUUACACUCACUAUUAGUUCUAGGGCUUCUUCUUCUUCUUCUUCUUCUUUUUCGAAUACUUACAGGUUUUAUGUUGAACUUUGAGAAGGGAAAUCAACGUUCUGGGUUAAAAGUCUGGCAUUCCAACAUUUGAAAGCUGGGCUUGAGGAAAAUUGAAUAGAAUUAGCUAAACAAUAUUGUGAACAUUUGGCAAUUAGAAAGAAAAUGGCUCGUUUGGCUUGAUGCUAUGAAAAUCAUUAUGUAUAAUUGGGUUGUUGUUGAUUCAAGAAAAGAUGGUUAUGAGAGGAAUUGUUUGUGUAUAUUAAUUUUGACUUUUUUUUCAUCAAUAUUAUAAUUAUUUUAAAAUUUCAAAAUUUUGAUGUUAUGAUUUCUUCCACCCGAAAUAAAUCUUUAGGAUUACCUUUUUUCCAAGUUUUUGUUUUCUGUUUUAAAUUUGUGAUGUUUGAAUUAAAUCAGAUGUAGACGCGUUCUCCACUUGCCAGAGCUCGAGCUGAUUAUGACUAUAUCUCAUCAAGCUGUUGUUGGUCAGCAACAGUGGUAUGUGUUUUCACGCACUUAACACUUUCACAUUCUGAUUGAAAUGUGUGAACACGCUUUUAUAUUUGAUUUUUGAUUUUUGAUUUUUGAUUUUUGGCUGCGUAUUUAUAGAAAAGCCUAACAUGUCUUAAGAUUUUGUUGAUUUGCCAUGGAAAUCUCUUCAUUUCUUCCGCUAGGUUUUCUUUCCAGUACCCAAUUUCAUUAAUGGAUCUCACAAAGAAACGUGAGGUCGGCGAGAAUGGCGUCACCCGCAUCGCCUAUUCUACACCAAUAGGUUUCAAAUCUCAUUAGUCUUAGUCUCUCAAGCUCUACAGAAAAGAUUAUUGUUGAGCACAUAUGGUGAGUUUCUCUUCAUUUAGUUUA
rnacentral:lncRNA from 1 species